GACGGAGGAUGCAAGUGUUAUCCGGAAUCACUGGGCGUAAAGCGUCUGUAGGUGGUCAAAUAAGUCAACUGUUAAAUCUUGAGGCUCAACCUCAAAAUCGCAGUCGAAACUAUUCGACUAGAGUAUAGUAGGGGUAAAGGGAAUUUCCAGUGGAGCGGUGAAAUGCGUAGAGAUUGGAAAGAACACCGAUGGCGAAGGCACUUUACUGGGCUAUUACUAACACUGAGAGACGAAAGCUAGGGAAGCAAAUGGG
rnacentral:rRNA from 1 species